GGGUGUGGCCCAAAGUACACACAAAAGAAUAUGGGUGUGACCACCUCAGGGCAAUAUGGGCUUAAUGAUGACCACUGGUGGCGUAUGAGUCUUCUACGAUGAAUGCGUGGGAGUCUGAGGCCCACUGAAAUGCAGCCGAAUCCAGUACUCUGUUGCAAUGAUCAGGAAUAUUAAUGAUGUCUUCUUCUUGUCAUUCGCUCUACGAUAUCUUUCUCAGCGCGGAUGACCUGGAGCUGAGGGGCCAUAUCUGGGCUCGAAGUUUGGGGAGUGACGCUCAUGUUGAUGUGAGUUCUCGAAGAAAGUUCUCUUCUCAACUUCUUUCAAAUGUGCAAAAUUAUCACUUAUGCUGCACCCGUAUUUUAGUAUGAAAUAUUAGUAUGUGUGAAGUAUUGACUAUGUGUAAAACUAUGGAAUAUAAAACAUACUUGAGAGUGCUUGAUAUUCAUAUGAAGUUUAUGUAGACCCUUCUUAGUUUUGGGAUGUAUUUUAGGAAUUAAAAUGGGUUUUGAGGUCAGAAAGAUAGUAGAGUGGGUAAGGCCUUGCAAACAGUUGACUUGAGUUCAAUUCUCAGGGACCCAUAUGGUCCCUGAGCUCUGCCAGGAGUGAUCCCAGGACACAGGAGCCUGGAUUAAACCUUGAGUAUCACUGGUGUAGCCUCAGAGCAAAACAAAAAAUAGAUAUUUUGUGACUUCAUAGCUUUAUCAAUGAGAUAUGGAUGUGGAGAUGAGGUAUAUUGGAUCAGUGAUGACUAUUGGUGGCGUAUGAGUCUUCUACGAUGAAUACGUGGUAAUCUGAGCUCCAAAGCCAACCAGAUCUGCUCCAUCCUCAUUGUUGAACAAAUUUCAGACAUAUCCAAGGCUUCCAUUAUGGCCUUAUUGUUUACCUAUUUUUAUUCUUUUAUUACAUUGACAAAAAUUCUAUAAAUAAUUAUAGAAGACAAUGCAGAUGAAUAUGAUGAAUUCUUGUCCAAUGGAGGCAAGAGGGAGCAGUAACAUGCUAUGAAUAUCCAGAUAUGAAAAAUAAAUGACCCAUAGACUAGACAGAUAUCACUAAGGGUUAGGGGGCAAGCUUUGCACAUAGGUGCCCCAAAUUCAAUUCCAUUUAUCACAAAAGCCCCUCUGCACUAUGAAGCAUAACCCUCCCUUCCCUGCACACCUUAAAAAUAAGUGAUUCAUGCCAAAUACUUGUUAGACCAAGGAUGGCACAGGCAUCAAAGCCAUAGACUAACCACAGAUUCUGGGCCAGUGGCCAACUCCAAGUUGCUUUCCCUGAGAGAAAUAAAGGCGUAUCUACAUCCAAUUAAUGAUAGCCUGGUCAAGUGGUGCUGUGAAAGGUGACAAGCAAAGAUCACCAGCAAACAGUGUUUCACCUUCUUUUCGUCAUUUCUCUGCUCUGCACUCCUCAGAACUGACACUCCACUUCUGGAAUCUUCCUUGAUCCCAAGCUCUGGGGUCACAUCUCAGUCAGGAGCCUGGAGAGAAAUGAUGGAGCUUCUGGUGCUGAUGGUGACCUUCCCCCAGGACAACCCACUUUGUGCAUGCACUAGUUCAUUAAUCAAGACCAGAUAGCACAGAAAAUGACUAUUUUUUCACUAUCUGAUAGCCAAGGACAUUAUGCUGACAAUCAAGAAAAAUACCAGCACAGUUACAGAAGGGCAGAAUCUCUUCUCUAUGGGAUUCUCUGAGAGCUGUGGAAUCUUCUUUUAUGGCUUUGAACUUAAUGUUGAUUUCCUAGUAAUCAAUAGAUAGUAAUCAAUAGGUAAUCAAUUCAUUUAAAAAAUGAAUGGAAAUCAAGAUCUCCAUUGACACUUCCUAGUAGCCUGUGUUAUAGCUGAUGAAGAAUUUGUGCCUGUAAUUCUGAAGUCCUGCGUCAAAUGUAUCUGAUCAAUGUGUCCAGGGAUACUGUAGAUUAAUACUGUAGAUAUUUGUAUGUGUCUCUUUGCCUUUGCAUUUAAUAUUUUAGUGAGGUUUUAAAUGGGCAAAAUAGAAGAAUAAGAUGAGGUGCGAAAUGACUACUGAUGAAGAAUACUCUGUAUUAUAUUAAAUAUAAUAAUCUGCAAGGUAACAAAAUAAUAACCACUGGAAUAGAUAAAAGAAUGGACCAAAUAUAUUGUCCAUUAGUAGUUUGAUGUUGAUAGUGAAAUGUAAUCAUUAUUCAUUGGUUGAGCCAGUUUCAGACUCCAACUUUGUUUCAUUAACUACAAAUAAUUAUAGGGAAGCAGAGAGAUAGUACAGCAGAGAUAGUACAACUUAUUUGUUUAGAAGGCAGCCAAUCUAGCGUAAAUCCCUGCUGCCCUAUAUGGUCCUCCAAGCACCCACCGGAGUGAUCCCUGAGCACCAGCAGGUGUAGUCCAAAAUCCAGAAAGAAAUAGAACUUAUAAAUGAGUCAAUGCCUAAUGGUUAUAAAUAACUGAUGGAAACUCCAAUUAAAUGGUGUGGCAUUCUCAAUCUCUUCACCACUUUCUCUCCAUGGACAGGCAAACUAAUAACACUUCUGGUCAUGAUUGUGAUGAUUGUUAGCUUUCAUGAUAGAAGAGAGACCAAAGUAAGAAAUGACUAAAUGUAUUUUUCUGUCUGGCUCUUUUAGUGAUAGGUAUUCAUAGUAGUAUUAUAUAUAUAUAAUCAAAUAUUAUAGAAUUACUCAUAAAAUCAAAUGGGCCGUUGUGCAAUAAUGAAUAUGAUAUAAUCUAUGUUGCUGGGUUGAUGGUUUGUAAUGUAGAGAGAAUGGAUUGUAUGAAUCUAUGCUGUAUAAAUCUUUGCUAGCAAUGACCAAUAGGUAGAAGUUCAGGUUAUUCAACACUAUUAUUCUUUUAGACUUUGUAAAGUAAAGCAUGUUUUUAUUGGGAGUUCCUCUAUGUACUCAUAUUAGUAAUAUUAAUGAAUAAAUAUUAGCACUCUAAAGAAAAUAUAAAGGAAAAAGUGUAAAGCAUUGUGCAACUCUGAACGUAUGUAGAGAGAAAAAGUAUAUCAUAAAUAAAAAAAUAAAACACUGAA